GGAAGGAAGGUCUUGUAAGAGGACUUCUCAGUCUCUUCCUCCUCACACAAGCUCUCUGCAGAUUUCAGAAAGCCUCUCUUGAGAGUUGGGACCCCUCUGGAGUUGAAAAGCAUGAGGAAUGAGGAGGGGCUGCUGGGGACAGGAUGGGCUCGUGAAAACCGCCCUCCCCUUUGGAUGAACAGAAGAGUCUUGUAUGCUUUCAGGAUACAACUCAAAGGUUUUGGAGAGAAACAGGUUCUGUGACUCGUUUUGGCUAAUUGGCAAAACAUUAUUCAGAAAAGUUAUCUAUAUUAUAUGUUGGAGGUGGAAACUGAAGGAAGGAUUUCAGACAGACCGAAUCCUGAUUUACAAAGGAGUUCAGAAAGCCCAAACCCUUUAAUCAUUGCAGGCAAUGUUUGAAA